rnacentral:rRNA from 1 species
AUUGCCCCAGUAUCGGCGAGUGAAGCGGCAACAGCUCAAAUUUGAAAUCUGGCCCUAGGCCCGAGUUGUAAUUUGCAGAGGAUGCUUUGGGCGCGGUGCCUUCCGAGUUCCCUGGAACGGGACGCCAUAGAGGGUGAGAGCCCCGUCUGGUCGGACACCAAGCCUAUGUAAAGCUCCUUCGACGAGUCGAGUAGUUUGGGAAUGCUGCUCAAAAUGGGAGGUAUAUGUCUUCUAAAGCUAAAUACCGGCCAGAGACCGAUAGCGCACAAGUAGAGUGAUCGAAAGAUGAAAAGCMCUUUGAAAAGAGAGUUAAACAGCACGUGAAAUUGUUGAAAGGGAAGCGUUCAUGACCAGACUUGGCCCGGUUGAUCAUCCAGCGUUCUCGCUGGUGCACUCUGCCGGUCCAGGCCAGCAUCAGUUCGCCGCGGGGGAUAAAGGUUUCGGGAAUGUGGCUCCCUCGGGAGUGUUAUAGCCCGUUGCGUAAUACCCUGCGGUGGACUGAGGUCCGCGCUCUGCAAGGAUGCUGGCGUAAUGGUCAUCAACGACCCGUCUUGAAACACGGACCAAGGAGUCGUCUUCGUAUGCGAGUGUUCGGGUGUAAAACCCCUACGCGUAAUGAAAGUGAACGGAGGUGGGAGCUUCGGCGCACCAUCGACCGAUCCUGAUGUUCUCGGAUGGAUUUGAGUAAGAGCAUACGGGGCCGGACCCGAAAGAAGGUGAACUAUGCCUGUAUAGGGUGAAGCCAGAGGAAACUCUGGUGGAGGCUCGCAGCGGUUCUGACGUGCAAAUCGAUCGUCAAAUAUGGGCAUGGGGGCGAAAGACUAAU